rnacentral:lncRNA from 1 species
GGGGGGUGUAGAUGGAGUCUUGAUCACUUUAAAAUCAUCAUAGGGAUGUUAAAAACCCUCUAAAUAAGUUUAAUUUAGGGUAAAGCACGAUCUAGAGGUCUUAGAAAUUGGGGAAAGGGUCUAGAAUUGGAAAAAAAGGGUGCAAGUGGGCAUAAUCUGCAAAAUUGGGCGUUAUGCAUAUUAUGUAGACUCGCUAAGCGAAUAGUUUCGCAUAGCAAGUCCUUGCAGAGGAGUGGCCUUUGUUUCGUCUCUCGUUAUGCG